rnacentral:rRNA from 1 species
AGAGUUUGAUCCUGGCUCAGGAUGAACGCUAGCUACAGGCUUAACACAUGCAAGUCGAGGGGCAGCAUGGUCUAGCAAUAGACCGAUGGCGACCGGCGCACGGGUGAGUAACACGUAUCCAACCUGCCCAUUACUCGGGGAUAGCCUUUCGAAAGAAAGAUUAAUACCCGAUGGCAUAACGGAAAGACAUCUUUCUGUUAUUAAAGAACUUCGGUAAUGGAUGGGGAUGCGUUCCAUUAGAUAGUUGGCGGGGUAACGGCCCACCAAGUCAGCGAUGGAUAGGGGUUCUGAGAGGAAGGUCCCCCACAUUGGAACUGAGACACGGUCCAAACUCCUACGGGAGGCAGCAGUGAGGAAUAUUGGUCAAUGGACGAGAGUCUGAACCAGCCAAGUAGCGUGAAGGAUGACUGCCCUAUGGGUUGUAAACUUCUUUUAUAUGGGAAUAAAGUGAGUCACGUGCGGCUUUUUGUAUGUACCAUAUGAAUAAGGAUCGGCUAACUCCGUGCCAGCAGCCGCGGUAAUACGGAGGAUCCGAGCGUUAUCCGGAUUUAUUGGGUUUAAAGGGAGCGUAGGCGGAUGCUUAAGUCAGUUGUGAAAGUUUGCGGCUCAACCGUAAAAUUGCAGUUGAAACUGGGAGUCUUGAGUGCAGUAGAGGUAGGCGGAAUUCGUGGUGUAGCGGUGAAAUGCUUAGAUAUCACGAAGAACUCCGAUUGCGAAGGCAGCUUGCUGGACUGUAACUGACGCUGAUGCUCGAAAGUGUGGGUAUCAAACAGGAUUAGAUACCCUGGUAGUCCACACAGUAAACGAUGAAU